rnacentral:piRNA from 1 species
UGAUGACCAAAAAGUCCAUCCUUUGCUA